UGUCUUCUAAUGUCAUUCCAUCUAGUUCUGUUCCAGCUAUUUGCUUGUUGAGGUUGUCUACAUAAGCCCUGUGAUGCUUUCCCCAGUGGUAUUCAAAUGUUUCAUGGCUCAUAUGAGGCUCCAAAGCAUCCUAAAUCAUACCCAUGGGUGUAAAGAGCAAAAGAUACUAGUAAAUAAUAUAAAACUGAUAUGGAAAGAUGUAUGAAUGCAUGGAGAUAAUUGAUAUGCGCAAUUUAGUUUUGUACUGAAACCGACGUAAAUGCUUUGGCAAGUCCCCACUUGUGGUUUCAAGUCAAUACCACUGUUUACUCAUCGAUAAGAAAAGUAGGAACUAACAAGUUUAAUCAGAGAUAAUCAGCAGAAAAGCUAAGAAGAUCAGCUUAUUUGGUUUGGGAGUCCAUAUACACAGAAUGACUUUAAAGAACCUAACAUUAUGUUUGGAGUAAUUUCAUAUAAGAUAUAUGAUUAUUAUCAAUUUCAAAUGACCAACGGUAUGGAAGCUAGGCUUGGUCAAUGUUAGAAUAUGAUUAACAUAUAUCCCCCGUAAGUAGACAAAUAUUACAAAAUUCAGUGAAGGGAGACAAGAAUUAAGAAGACAAUUCAGUGAUCUAACUGUCAUAAAAAUUGGCAUUUCUGUGGCCAUAUAUUCAUACUCAUCAACCCUAUAUGUUCAAAACUCCCAGAAUUCAAUUAGUCACACUUACUUAGAAAUUACACAAAUUGCAAAACAGAUCCAUCAAGAGGUUUAAGAUAAAGAUUCAAUAGGAAUUAGCAUGAAGAAGUGUGAUUAAACACAGCAAGCAAAAGUGUAAGCUUGCUUCUAUCAAAAUUAAGCUGAAUGCCAGAAUAUGUAAUAUCACGACCCUCUCAAGAAUGUAUAUCUUAAUUAUGGUCAGUGUUUUUCUUUUUUUUGGCCAAGAGGACCUGAAGUUUCUAUCCAAGGGCAAAAAGCGUAAAUCUUCACUAAUCCGAUUUAAGUGUUUAAUCAGGGCAUCAAAAUCUUAUGCUCUAGGAGUGGCCUAGAUUCAAUUUAUUUUAAUUAUUUUAAUUUAGCCUUAAACCAGAUUCAAUUUUCAUCAAAAGCCUUGCAAUUGAACAACUUUCAUAAAUGGGUGGCAGUGAUAGAUAAAAGCUUAGGCUUAAGCUAAGAAAGGGGCCAUAAUUAUUUAAUUAUAUGUAGGAUUCAAUAUUAAUAAGACGAAGUAAAUCUAAACAAUGCAAGAUAUCCCCAAAAAAAUGAUUAAAAAAUCACAUAGGAAGCAGUCUGAGUACUUUACAGGUCUUACCAGUUGGUAUGGUGGGGGUUUUAGGUCAAAUUUGGCUGUUAUUACACCAUGGCCAGCUUUCCUUGCACACUGUCUCUGCAAUGCAAAUACUCAAAAAGCCUUGUAUCACUUACAAACAAUCAUCAAAUUUGGGUUCAAAAUUAACUUUGGCAUCCUAGAUAGAAAUCAACAGACUAAAUAAGAAUUAUAAUAUCAUUAUCCGUAAUAAAUCACAUAAAAAAAGCACGAAACAUUUACAGUCUCACAUUGACAUUUCAUCAAACACCAGUGAUGCAGUCCACUUAGAAAAUCAUUCUCUUCAUCAACUCAAUAAAGAAAGUAUUUUCUUUUCAAAAUUCCUUAUAAGAAACACUAUAACCCCCCGGACUGCCGAGUACACAAAGUGCAAACCUCAUUUUUUCUCCACUGCAAGCGUCGAGUCGACCCCUGAAAUCCUGCACCAUAGAUCAGAUAUCAGUGCACAAUUUAUCACAAAAUACUCAACUAAUUAGCGGGACUCCAUUUAUAUCAUCCGAUUACAACCUUGACAGGGAAACAAUGCGCAUUUCAAUGGAGCAGCAAUGCCUGUUACUGCAUUUGCCACCAUCUUAUCUUACAAGAACCGUCUGAAGUUUUCGGAUGAGAAGGAGAGCGAGAGGGAGACACGUGACAACUUUCUUUACUGCGAAGCGUGUGGCAACCUUAAGACAUGUUUUAUGACCUCAUUACAAAUAAUAUGAUUUUUCUGCGGAGCGUGUGGUGACCUUACGACAUGUUUUAUGACCUUAUUACAAUAUGAUUUUAGAGCCCAAAUAAUUUCCGAAGUGAGAUAUUUAUAAGAGAACUUAUUUCGUAAAUCAAAUUAUUUAUAAGUAAGAUAUUUUCUUGAAUUUGAUUUAUGUUCUUUUGAUCGAAUAACUAAUAUCAAAUCAUAAAGAUUAAACAUUUCGAAAAUUAUCUGUAAAAACUAAUUAAUAAGAUGGGAAGGUCACCAGUUGUUAUAUUCAUAAGAUUUUUACAUUAGUUGGAUUUUCAUAUAAAACGUUCCUUAGUCCUUUUAAGUAUUGUUUGAUUUAGUUAAAAGUUGAUAAAAAUUUAAGUUAAAGUCGAGGAUUAAUUUUAACAAUACAUUUUAUGGAAUUCACAACUUUUUAUCAAAAUUUGAUUUUGUUAAAACAAAACAUGCGCUUAAUUUCAUAUAUUGAAAGAAGUGAUUUUCAAAAUUUAAUAAAUAUUUUAUUAUAUAAGAAAGAACUAAGAAGUGUCAUUUUCUAAAGUUAAUAAUGUUAUAGUGAUAUAAUCAUCGACUCUCUAUUUGUGAGUUCCUGUCAAGGAGGCUGACGAAGGCCCUAUUUUUUUUUUUUUAAGCAAAAUUCCAAUAUAGUGAGUGGUUGGCACUACGUGCAAUGUGGUACCAUUACUCUGUGUAGUACAAAUUUGUGACUAAAACUUGUAAGAUAGGAUAUAGCCCUCGUUUUUUAAGGAUUAAAAUUAAAUUUUUUAAUAAAUUUUAAUAAAAGUUGAUCGUUAAAAAAUUGUGAAUUUCAUAAAACACAUUAUUAAAAUUAAUUAUUAAUUCAAAAUUGAAUUAAAAUCAUAAUUUCAAUCCCCAUGAACAUAAACAUAGUUCACAACAAAACCAGGAUGAUCAUUCAUCGACCAUGGAUAGCUCAACCGUGAGAGUAUGAACAAGAUUCAACAAUUAUUUGAAUUUUAUUUUUUUUAAUACUCAAGAGCUUGAUUCAUACAAUCCAUGCAUUAACGCUAUUAAAAACGUAAUAGAAAUUUAUCACAAAAAGUUCUUUAUUCCCUUAUUGACCACACAUUCCAUACAUUCACGCUGUUCAAAACAUAACUAGAAAAACAUGACUGAUAGAGCUAUGAUCCUACCCAGAGAAACAAAUCAACCACAGGUUCAUCGCUUUCAAACUACAUUACUAAUGCUUCAGAAUUUGAUGUUCCAUUAUUCUUCCAGCCUCCUUUUUAUUCGCCUGGUUCUUCUCUUUCCCCCUAAGCAGCACCAGCCUUAGCAGAUUCAAGUCUCGAACUGACUGAGUCCCAAGAAACAAGAUUCUCCAUGAAGAUCGAUAUAUAAUCUGGCCUCCGGUUCUGUAAAUGAAGGCAUGGUAGGUUAUUGAAACGUGUGAGAAAGGAUGCAUCACAAAUAUGAAGAAAAUCACUACUGACCUGAUAAUCGAGGUAGUAAGCGUGCUGUAUAUUGGAAAAAAAAAAAAUUAAAUAAGAAGACAAAGUAAAUAAAACAUGAAAAUCAGUUACAUGUCAUCGUCUCAAGGAAUGAACUACAGAAAAUUUCUGAUUGAUUACCUCCCAAACGUCUACUGUAAGUAGCGGCUGCAACAAAUGAGCAAUACAAUGACAUGAGAUUGUCAGAUAAUAAGAACAAUUACACCGAAAAACAAGAAAGAGCGAGAUGAUAACACCAAAUUCAAUACAAUGUAUUAUUAAAAUGGAAACAUGAAAGACACUAAGAUACUCACAACUUGAUCCAAGACAAGAGGAUUCACGGCAUUGGGACUCUGCACCACAGCAAGUUUUUUGUCCUUGUCCUUGUCUAGAUGGAAAAUAAUAAAAAGGGGUGUCGAUUUUUCAUGUUUAGAUAGAUAUAUUUAAAAGCAAAAUAGGGAUAGAAAGGCUUACACACAAGCCACGCCCAACCAGAACCAAAUUGUGUUGCUGCAGCUGUCUUGAACUCUUUGGCAAAAUCUUCAAAAGAACCAAAGUCCCUGUUGAUUAAAUCUAAAAUUUCUCCAGAUGGUUUUCCUCCACCACCUGGUUUCAUGGACUCCCAGAAGAAAUCGUGAUUCCAGACCUGUAAAUGUGUAAAACGACAUGUGAAUUCUAUGAAUAAAGGUGCAGAGUUCUGCGGUCGAGACAUAAAAAUAUACCUGAGCAGCAUUGUUAAAGGGUGGAAGGAGAUUUCCGCUGUUAUAUGUAGCAACGAUUACAUCUUCUAGUGUCUUUCCGGUGAGUUCUGUUCCGGCUAUUUGCUUGUUGAGGUUGUCUACAUAAGCCCUGUGAUGCUUUCCCCAAUGGUAUUCAAAUGUUGAACGGCUCAUAUGAGGCUCCAAAGCAUCCUAAAUCAUAUUCCAUAAUCCAUCAUUGUGAAUAGCGUAAAUUAAUUACACAAAUUGCACUACCAAGAGAGGCUUAUGAUAAAG
rnacentral:lncRNA from 1 species